UGGGGGAUAUUGCACAAUGGGCGCAAGCCUGAUGCAGCGACGCCGCGUGGGGGAUGAAGGCCUUCGGGUUGUAAACUUCUUUUGCUAUGAACAAGGCGCACUUUGGGGUGUGUUGAGUGUAGGGGUUGAUUAGCGCCGGCUAACUACGUGACAGCAGCCGCGGUAAUACGUAGGGCGCGAGCGUUGUCCGGAAUUAUUGGGCGUAAAGGGCUUGUAGGUGGCUGUUUGCGUCUGUCGUGAAAGCUCAUGGCUUAACUGUGGGUUUGCGGUGGGUACGGGCUGGCUUGAGUGCAGUAGGGGAGGCUGGAAUUCCUGGUGUAGCGGUGGAAUGCGCAGAUAUCAGGAGGAAUACCGGUGGCGAAGGCGGGUCUCUGGGCUGUUACUGACACUGAGGAGCGAAAGCAUGGGGAGCGAACAGG
rnacentral:rRNA from 1 species